AUACGUAGGUGACAAGCGUUGUCCGGAUUUACUGGGUGUAAAGGGCGUGUAGGCGGAGAUGCAAGUCAGGAGUGAAAUCUAGGGGCUCAACCCCUAAACUGCUUUUGAAACUGUAUCCCUUGAGUAUCGGAGAGGCAGGCGGAAUUCCUAGGGUAGCGGUGAAAUGCGUAGAUAUUAGGAGGAACACCAGUGGCGAAGGCGGCCUGCUGGACGACAACUGACGCUGAGGCGCGAAAGCGUGGGGAGCAAACAGGAUUAGAUACCCUGGUAGUCCACGCUGUAAACGAUGAAUACUAGGUGUGGGGGGACUGACCCCCUCCGUGCCGCAGUUAACACAAUAAGUAUUCCACUUGGGGAGUACGAUCGCAAGAUUGAAACUCAAAUGAAUUGACGGGG
rnacentral:rRNA from 1 species